rnacentral:rRNA from 1 species
GUUUGAUCCUGGCUCAGAAUGAAUGCUAGUUCUAGGCUUAUACACAUGCAAGUUGAAUGCUAUUGAAGCAUAGCGUACGGGUGCAGAGAAGGUAAGAAUUUAACCUUGCUGUUCUGAAUAAAUGUUAAAAAUACAGUAUAAUUAAAAUUUUUAAAAAUUUUAUAAAGAUUAUAUCGCAGCAAGUCAAGCUUACCAAGUAUCAAGGUAGUUGGACGUAUAAGAGACCACCAAGCCUAUAACGCUUUGCGGGUCUGGAAGGAUGAUCCGCCACAUGGAGACUGAAAAACGGCUCUGACUCUAGGGGGCAGCAGUAAAGAAUAUUGGACAAUGGGCGAAAGCUUGAUCCAGCUAUAGGACAUAGGGGAAAGGAAAAUUCGAUGAGGUUGUAAACCCAUUUUGCAUAGCGAAGAUAAUGACAUCAGCUUGAGAAAAAAGUCCCGGCUAACUUCGUGCCAGCAGCCGCGGUAAUACGAAGGGGACAAGUGUUAUUCAGAUUAACUGGGCGUAAAGAGCUUUUAGGCUGUUCUAGAUAUUGUUAAAAGUAAAAGAUCAAAGAUGAACCUUGAAACGGCUUUUAAAACAUAGAACUUUGGGUUUAUUUAAGGUUUGCACUACGGACGCGAAAGUAAAGAUUAAAUUUGCUAAGAUUCCACGGAGUUCCAAAGGUGAAGACAGCAUUCCAUAUAAACUGACGCUAAAUGGCAAAGACAUGGGAAUCAACCGGGAUUAGAUACCCCGUUAGUCCACGUAGUGACUUAUGAGUAUUCGGCGCUAUCUUUUUAAUGAUAGUUCUUUUGUAGCUAACGCAUAAAUACUCCGCCUGAGAAGUACGGCCGCAAGGUUAGAACUCAAAGGAAUUGACGGGGGCUUAAACAAGCGGUGGAACAUGUGGUUUAAUCCGAUAAUACGCGUAAAACCUUACCACAUUCUUGACAUUUCUGUUGAAUUAUUAAUUUGUAUUUUAAUAUUAAAUUUAUAAUUAAAGGUAGAAACAGGUGUUGCAUGGCUGUCGUCAGCUCGUGCCGUGAGGCGUUCGGUUAAUUCCGGGAACGAGCGCAACUUUAAACAUAUCUAUGUAUAUGAACUGCCGGUGAUAAACUUGGAGGAAGGUCGAAACGAUGUCAAGUCGUCAUGGCCCUAAUGAAGUGGGCCACUCAUGUGUUACAAUGGUUAAGACAAAGAUUUUUAUUGGUGCAAACCAAAAGGAAAGAAACUUAGCCGUAAUUUGGAUUAGAGGCUGCAAUUCGCCUCUAUGAAAACGGAAUCGCUAGUAAUCGUGGAUCGGCACGCCACGGUGAAUAUGUUCCUGGGCUUUGUACACACCGCCCGUCAAGGUCCGAAAGGGGGGGCUGUCUUAAGCCUU